rfam:Medicago truncatula strain A17 chromosome 1, whole genome shotgun sequence.
AAAUAGCCCCCUAUGUUUUGAUUAUUUGGCAGUUUUGGACCCCUAAGGCAAAAAAAAAUAAAAAAAAAUGACACGUGGCACCUCACUUAAGGUGCCACGUCAGUGUUGACCGAGUCAACAAUGGACUGGGGGUCCAAAACUGCCAAAAAAUCAAAACAUAGGGGGCUGUUU